AUUGAACGCUGGCGGCAUGCUUUACACAUGCAAGUCGAACGGCAGCGCGGGCUUCGGCCUGGCUGCGAGUGGCGAACGGGUGAGUAAUGCAUCGGAACGUGCCCAGUUGUGGGGGAUAGCCCGGCGAAAGCCGGAUUAAUACCGCAUACGCCCUGAGGGUGAAAGCGGGGGACCGAAAGGCCUCGCGCUCUUGGAGCGGCCGAUGUCGGAUUAGCUAGUUGGUGGGGUAAAGGCUUACCAAGGCGACGAUCCGUAGCUGGUCUGAGAGGACGACCAGCCACACUGGAACUGAGACACGGCCCAGACUCCUACGGGAGGCAGCAGUGGGGAAUUUUGGACAAUGGGGGCAACCCUGAUCCAGCCAUGCCGCGUGAGGGAAGAAGGCCUUCGGGUUGUAAACCGCUUUUGUUCGGGAAGAAAUCCUCUGGGCUAAUACCCCGGGGGGAUGACGGUACCGGAAGAAUAAGCACCGGCUAACUACGUG
rnacentral:rRNA from 1 species